rnacentral:rRNA from 1 species
UAAUAAACUAGGAUUAGAUACCCUAUUAUUUUAAUUAAAUUUAGAUAUAUUAUUAGAGACUAAAUGUAAAACAUUAAAUUUAAAUAAUUUGGCGGUAUUUUAAAUAGUUAGAGGAAUUUGUUAGAUAAAUGAUGAUCCACGAUAGGAGGGUCCUAAGGAAGUUUUUAUGUAUUGUUGUUUAAAUAUUAAUUUAAAAGGAUUUAGUAGAUAAUCAUUAAAUUGAUGAUGGAAUUCAAAUCAAAAUGUAGGAUUUUUAGGUUAUAAUGAAUUACAAUUUAAUUUAUAAUUAGAUUUAAGUUUUUAAUAAUUUAAUUAAAGAGGAUUUAAAAGUAAGUUUAUAAAAUUAUGUGAACUGAAAGGUUAAUAAAAUAUGCACAAAUUGCCCGGUCAUUUUCCAUAA